GCCGGGUGUGGUGGUUCACGCCUGUAAUCCCAGAGGCUUGGGAGGCUGAGGCAGGAGAAUCGGGAGUUCAAAGCCAGCCUCACAAAAAGUGAGGUGCUAAGCAACUAAGUGAGACCCUGUCUCUA
rnacentral:sRNA from 1 species